rnacentral:lncRNA from 1 species
ACAAAAGGGUUUUAGGGUUUUAAGCUUUUUAGGGUUUCUGUGAGAAAUGGCUGAGGAGAGUGGACAGAGGGCUAAGGGAACCGUCAAGUGGUUCAGUGACCAAAAAGGUUUUGGUUUCAUCACUCCCGAUGACGGCGGCGAAGAUCUGUUCGUUCACCAGUCAGGUAUCAGAUCUGAGGGUUUCCGUAGCCUAGCUGAAGGGGAAACCGUAGAGUUCGAAGUUGAGUCUGGAGGUGACGGCCGUACAAAGGCUGUUGAUGUCACCGGACCCGAUGGUGCGGCUGUCCAAGGUGGACGUGGAGGCGGCGGUGGAGGUGGUCGCAGUGGUGGUGGUUAUGGAGGCGGCGGUGGCGGAUAUGGUGGAGGUGGCCGUGGUGGUAGCCGUGGAUAUGGUGGCGGUGAUGGAGGCUAUGGUGGUGGUGGCGGAUACGGUGGAGGUAGCCGUUAUGGCGGCGGUGGAGGUGGAUAUGGUGGAGGCGGUGGCUACGGUGGUGGUGGUAGUGGUGGAGGAAACGGUUGCUUCAAGUGUGGUGAGUCUGGUCACUUUGCUAGAGACUGUACCCAGAGUGGAGGUGGCGGCGGAGGUGGCAGAUUCGGUGGUGGUGGUGGAGGUGGCGGCGGUGGCUGCUACAAAUGUGGUGAAGAUGGUCACUUUGCCCGUGAAUGUACCAGUGGAGGUCGUUGAACAUUGAUUGAAACCCUUUGUUCUCUUUUUCUUUUAGCCUGUUAUGUUUUUGUCUGAAAGUGGUGCCUAUGGUAACCUUUCAUAUGGGUCUUUGCUACUGUUUCUUCGACUAUGGUUGUUUGCUUGUUUUUAUUUUCUGCUCAUUAGUAGUAUCCGUUAUACGGUUUAGUUCAGUUUGAAUCAUUUGGUAAUGGGGAGUCUGAUAUUUUGUGGUGCUGCAUUGAAUACUCUCUGUACAUGUUUACAUACAUGU